rnacentral:rRNA from 1 species
UACGAAGGGGGCUAGCGUUGCUCGGAAUCACUGGGCGUAAAGGGUGCGUAGGCGGGUCUUUAAGUCAGGGGUGAAAUCCUGGAGCUCAACUCCAGAACUGCCUUUGAUACUGAGGAUCUUGAGUUCGGGAGAGGUGAGUGGAACUGCGAGUGUAGAGGUGAAAUUCGUAGAUAUUCGCAAGAACACCCGUGGCGAAGGCGGCUUUCUGGGACGGUACUGACGCUGAGACGCGAAAGCGUGGGGAGCGAACAGG